rnacentral:lncRNA from 1 species
UUAAAGCUCACUUGUCCCUGUCAUUUGUAAAAGAACUUAAAGCUCACUUAUCCUCAUUGUUAAUUGAAGAGCUUAAAGCAUAAAGCUCACUUGUCCCUGCUGCAUAUUAAACAGCAUAAAGCUCGCGUGUCCCUAUGGCUUAUAGAAAAGCUUGAAGGUUAGUUGUCCCAGUCUCUUAUAGAAGAGUUUAAAGCUCACGCUCCCUGUUGCUUAUAAAAGAGAUUAAAAUAAUCUUGUCCAUGUCCCUAAUAGAACAACUUAAAGCUCACAUAAAAGAGCAUGUAGCUCACGUGUCCAUAUGGAUAUAAAAUAGCAUAAAGCUCAACGUUUCCUUCCCAUUUAUGAAAAAGCUUAGAGGUCACUUGUCCCUCUCGCUUAUAAAAGGGCUUAAAGCUCACGGGUCCCUGUUGUUUAAUAUAAGAGCUUAAAGCUCACUUUUCUCUGCCACUCGUAAAAGACCAUAAAGCUUACUUGCUCCUGCCGCUUAUAAAAGAGCGUAAAGCUCACUUGUCCCUGUCAUUUAUGAAAGAGUUUUAACGCUCACUUGUUCCCAUCAUUAAUUAAAGAGCUUGAAGCAUAACGCUCACUUGUCCCUGCUGCUUAUUAAAGAGCAUAAAGCCCACUUGUCCCUCUGGCUUAUGGAAAAGCUUAAAGGUUGCUUGUCCCUGUCUCCUAUAGAAGAGUUUAAAGCUCAUGUGUCCAUGUUGCUUAUAAAAGAGAUUAAUAUAAACUUGUCCAUGUCCCUACUAAAAUAACUUAAAGCUCACAUAAAAGAGCAUGACGCUCACGUGUCCCGAUGUUGAUUAUAAAAGAGCUUAAAGCUCACUUGUCCUCGUCGCUUGCAAAAGAGCUAAAGCUCACUUGUCCCCCCUCCCCCCGCGCUUAUAAAAGAACUUAAAAGCUCACUUGUCUCUGCCGCUUAUAGAAGAGCUCAAAGUUCUGGGGUCUGUGUAUAUAAAAGAGCUUAAAGCUCAUGUGUCCCGGUUGCUUAUAAAAGAGCUUAAAGCUCACUUGUCCCUCUCGUUUAUAAAAAAGAGCAUAAAGGUCACAUGUCUUUAUCGCUUCUUAAAGAGCUUAAAGCUCACUUGUCCCUAUGGCUUAUAAAAGAGCUUGAAGCUCAUUCGUCCUGCUGCUUAUAAAAGAGUAGGAAGCUCACGUGUCAAUGUGGCUCAUAAAAGAGCUUAAAGUUUGCUUGUCUCUGUAGCUUAUAAAAGGGCUUAAAGCUGAAAGCUCAUGUGUCCUAUUGGCUUAUAAAAGAGUUUAAAGCUCACGUGUCCCUUCUGUUCAUAAAAGAGUUUAGUGCUCAUGUGUCCCUCUUACUUACAAAAGAGCGCAAUGCUCAUGUGUCACUCCUAAGCAAGAGCUUAAUGCUCACAUGUCCCUGGUGCUUAUAAAAGAGCUUAAAGCUCAUGUGUCCCGGUUGCUUAUAAAAGUGCUUAACACUCACGUGUCCUUGCUUAAGAAAGAGUUUAAUGCUCAUAACCCAAUGAUUACGAAAUAGCUUGAUGAUCAUGUGUGAAAGCGCUUAAUGCUCAAAUGUCCCUGUUGCUUAUCUAAAAACUUUCUCGAGUGUCCCUGUUGCAUAUGAAAAGAGCUUAAUGCGCACGUAUCCCUCAGAGCUGAUGCUCACAUGUCCCUCAUGUGUCCCUGUGGCAUAUGAAAGAGCUUACAGCUCACUUGUCCCUAUCAAUUAUAAAAGUGCUUAAAGCUCACUUGUGCCUAUUCCUUAUUAAAGCGCCUAAAGCUUACGUGUUCCCUGUUGCUGAUAAAAGAGUUUCAAGUUUACUUGCCCCCAUCGCUUAUAAAAGAGCUUAAAGCUCACAUAAAAUAGCAUGAAGCUCACUUGUCCUUGUGAAUUAUAAAAGAGUUUAGAGCUCACUUGUCGGUGUCGCUUAUAAAAGAGCUUAAAGCUCACUUGUCCCUCCCACUUAUACAAGAGCAUAAAGCUCACGUGUCCUGGUUGCUUGUAAAAUAGCUUAUAGCUGACUUGUCCCUCUCUCUCGCUCUCUUAUAAAAGAGCUUAAACCUCACGUCUCCCUGUCACUUAUGAAAGAGCAUUCAGCUCACUUGUCUAUGUCACUUAUAAAGAGCUCAAAGCUCAUGUGUCUAUGUCCCUUAUAAAAGAGCAUGAAGCGCACGUGUCUCUGUGGCCUAUAAAAGAGCUUAAAGCUCACUUCUCCCUGUUGCUUAUCAAAGAGCUUAAAAGUUACUUGUCCCUCCCCAUUUGUAAAUGUCCCUGUCGUUUAUAAAAUUGCAUAUAGCUCAUGUGUCCUUGAUGCUUGUAAAAGAGCUUAAAGCUCACGUGUCUAUAUCGCUUAUAAAAGAGCUUAAAGCUCUAUAUCGCUUAUAAAAGGCUUAAAGCUCAUGUGUCUCUAUUGCUAAGGCUCAUGUGUCCCUAUUGUUUAUAAAAGAGCUUAACGGCACAGUUACUCUUGCUUAUAAAAGAGCUUAAUGCUCAUUUAUCCUAAUGAUUAUGAAGUAGCACAAUGCUUAUGAAAGAACUUGCUCAAAUGUCCAUGUUGCUUAUGAAAAGCGUCUAAUGCUCAGGUAUCACUCAUAGCUUGAUUCUCACAUGUCCCUACUGCUUAUGAAAGAGCUUAAAGCUCACUUAUCGUGUGGCUUAUGAAAGAGCCUAAAGCUCACUUGCCCUUGUUACUUAUAAAAUAGCAUAAAGCUCACUUGCCCAUGCUGCUUAUUGAAAAACUUUAAAGCUCACUUGUCCCUGUCAUUUGUAAAAGAACUUAAAGCUCACUUAUCCUCAUUGUUAAUUGAAGAGCUUAAAGAUAAAGCUCACUUAGGUCCCUCUGCAUAUUAAACACUAAAGCUCGCGUGUCCCUAUGGCUUAUAGAAAGCUUGAAGGUUAGUUGUCCCAGUCUCUUAUAAAAGAGUUUAAAGCUGACGCUCCCUGUUGCUUAUAAAAGAGAUUAAAAUAAUCUUGUCCAUGUCCCUAAUAGAACAUCUUAAAGUCACAUAAAAGAGAUGAGCUCACGUGUCCAUAUGGAUAUAAAAUAGCAUAAAGCUCAACGUUUCCUUCCCAUUUAUGAAAAAGCUUAGAGGUCACUUGUCUCUCUCGCUUAUAAAAGGGCUUAAAGCUCACGGGUCCCUGUUGUUUAAUAUAAGAGCUUAAAGUUCACCUUUCUCUGCCACUCGUAAAAGACCGUAAAGCUUACUUGCUCCUGCCGCUUAUAAAAGAGCGUAAAACUCACUUGUCCCUGUCAUUUAUGAAAGAGUUUUAACGAUCACUUGUUCCCAUCAUUAAUUAAAGAGCUUGAAGCAUAACGCUCACUUGUCCCUGCUGCUUAUUAAACAACAUAAAGCCCACUUGUCCCUCUGGCUUAUGGAAAAGCUUAAAGGUUGCUCGUCCCUGUCUCCUAUAGAAGAGUUUAAAGCUCAUGUGUCCAUGUUGCUACUAAAAUAACUUAAAGCUCACAUAACAGAGCAUGACGCUCACAUAUCCCGAUGUUGAUUAUAAAAGAGCUUAAAGCUCACUUGUCCUCGUCGCUUGCAAAAGAGCUUAAAGCUCACUUGUCCUCGUCGCUUGCAAAAGAGCUAAAGCUCACUUGUCCCCCAACGCCCCCGCUUAUAAAGAGCUUAAAAGCUCACUGUCUCUGCGCUUAUAAAGAGUUAAAGUUCUGGGGUCUGUAUAAAAGAGCUUAAAGCUCACUUGUCCCCUCGUUUAUAAAAAAGAGCAUAAAGGUCACAUGUCUUUAUCGCUUCUUAAAGAGCUUAAAGCUACUUGUCCCUAUGGCUUAUAAAAGAGCUUGAAGCUCAUUCGUCCUGCUGUUAAAAGAGUAUGAAGUUCACGUGUCCCUGUGGCUCAUAAAAGAGCUUAAACUUUGCUUCUCCCUGUAGCUUAUAAGGCGUAAAGAACUAUGUCAGUGUUCCUAUGGUAUAAAGUUUAAAGCUCACGUGUCCCUUCUGUUCACAGAAGAGUUUAGUGCUCAUGUGUCCCUCUUACUUACAAAAGAGCGCAAUGCUCAUGUGUCACUCCUAAGCAAGAGCUUAAUGCUCACAUGUCCCUGGUGCUUAUAAAAGAGCUUAAAGCUCAUGUGUCCCGGUUGCUUAUAAAAGUGCUUAAGACUCACGUGUCCUUGCUUAAAAUGCUCAUAACCCAAUGAUUACGAAAUAGCUUGAUGAUCAUGUGUGAAAGCGCUUGAUGCUCAAAUGUCCCUGUUGCUUAUCUAAAAACUUUCUCGAGUGUCCCUGUUGCAUAUGAAAAGAGCUUAAUGCGCACGUAUCCCUCAGAGCUGAUGCUCACAUGUCCCUCAUGUGUCCCUGUGGCAUAUGAAAGAGCUUACAGCUCACUUGUCCCUAUCAAUUAUAACAGAGCUUAAAGCUCACUUGUCCCUAUUCCUUAUUAAAGCGCCUAAAGCUUACGUGUUCCGUGUUGCUUAUAAAAGAGUUUCAAGUUUACUUGCCCCCAUCACUUAUAAAAGAGCUUAAAGCUCACAUAAAAUAGCAUGAAGCUCACUUGUCCUUGUGAAUUAUAAAAGAGUUUAGAGCUCACUUGUCGGUGUCGCUUAUAAAAGAGCUUAAAGCUCACUUGUCCCUACUUAUACAAGAGCAUAAAGCUACGUGUCCUGGUUGCUUGUAAAUAGCUUAUAGAUUCCUCUCUCUCUCUUAUAAAAGAGCUUAAACCUCACGUCUCCCUGUCACUUAUAAAAGAGCAUUCAGCUCACUUGUCUAUGUCUUAAAAGAGCUCAAAGCUCAUGUGUCCAUGUCCCUUAUAAAAGAGCAUGAAGCGCACGUGUCUCUGUGGCCUAUAAAAGAGCUUAAAGCUCACUUCUCCCUGUUGCUUAUCAAAGAGCUUAAAAGUUACUUGUCCCUCCCCAUUUGUAAAUGUCCCUGCGUUUAUAAAAUUGCAUAUAGCUCAUGUGUCCUUGAUGCUUGUAAAAGAGCUUAAAGCUCACGUGUCUAUAUCGCUUAUAAAAGAGCUUAAGGCUCAUGUGUCUCUAGCUUAAGGCUCAUUUGUAAAAAAGAGCUUAACGGCACAUGUUCUCUUGCUUAUAAAAGAGCUUAAUGCUCAUAUCCUAAUGAUUAUGAAGUAGCACAAUGCUUAUGAAAGAAUUGCUCAAAUGUCCAUGUUGCUUAUGAAAAGCGUCUAAUGCUCAGGUAUCACUCAUAGCUUGAUUCUACAUGUCCCUACUGCUUAUAAAGAGCUUAAGCUCACUUAUCGUGUGGCUUAUGAAAGAGCCUAAAGCUCACUUGCCCUUGUUACUUAUAAAAAGCAUAAAGCUCACUUGCCCAUGCUGCUUAUUGAAAAACUUAAAGCUCACUUGUCCCUGUCAUUUGUAAAAGAACUUAACUCACUUAUCCUCAUGUUAAUUGAAGAGUUAAAGCAUAAAGCUCACUUGUCCCUCUGCAUAUUAAACAGCAUAAAGCUCGCGUGUCCCUAUGGCUUAUAGAAAAGCUUGAAGGUUAGUUGUCCCAGUCUCUUAUAGAAGAGUUUAAAGCUCACGUCCUGUUGCUUAUAAAAGAGAUUAAAAUAAUCUUGUCCAUGCCCUAAUAGAACAACUUAAAGCUCACAUAAAAGAGCAUGUAGCUCACGUGUCCAUAUGGAUAUAAAAUAGCAUAAAGCAACUUUCUUCCCAUUUAUGAAAAAGCUUAAGGUCACUUGUCCCUCUCGCUUAUAAAAGGGCUUAAAGCUCACGGUCCUGUUGUUAAUAUAAGAGCUUAAAGCUCACUUUUCUCUGCCACUCGUAAGACCAUAAAGCUUACUUGUCUGCCGCUUAUAAAAGAGCGUAAACUCACUUGUCCUGUCAUUUAUGAAAGAGUUUUAACGCUCACUUGUUCCCAUCAUUAAUUAAGAGCUUGAAGCAUAACGUCACUGUCCACUGCUUAUUAAAGAGCAUAAAGCCCACUUGUCCCUAUGGCUUAUGGAAAAGCUUAAAGGUUGCUUGUCCCUGUCUCCUAUAGAGUUUAAAGCUCAUGUGUCCAGUUGCUUAUAAAAGAGAUUAAAUAAACUGUCCAUGUCCCUACUAAAAUAACUUGAAGCUCACGUGUCCCGAUGUUGAUUAUAAAAGAGCUUAAAGCUCACUUGUCCUCGUCGCUUGCAAAAGAGCUAAAGCUCACUUGCCCCCCCUCCCCCUCCGCCUCUUAUAAAAGAACUUAAAAGCUCACUUGUCUCUGCCGCUUAUAGAAGAGCUCAAAGUUCUGGGGUCUGUGUAUAUAAAAGAGCUUAAAGCUCAUGUGUCCCGGUUGCUUAUAAAAGAGCUUAAAGCUCACUUGUCCCUCUCGUUUUUAAAAAAGAGCAUAAAGGUCACAUGUCUUUAUCGCUUCUUAAAGAGCUUAAAGCUCACUUGUCCCUAUGGCUUAUAAGAGAGCUUGAAGCUCAUUCGUCCUGCUGCUUGUAAAAGAGUAUGAAGCUCACGUGUCCCUGUGGCUCAUAAAAGAGCUUAAAGUUUGCUUGUCCCUGUAGCUUAUAAAAGGGCUUAAAGCUGAAUGCUCAUGUGUCCUAUUGGCUUAUAAAAGAGUUUAAAGCUCACUUGUCCCUUCUGUUCACAAAAGAGUUUAGUGCUCAUGUGUCCCUCUUACUUACAAAAGAGCGCAAUGCUCAUGUGUCACUCCUAAGCAAGAGCUUAAUGCUCACAUGUCCCUGGUGCUUAUAAAAGAGCUUAAAGCUCAUGUGUCCCGGUUGCUUAUAAAAGAGCUUAAAGCUCACUUGUCCCUCUCGUUUAUAAAAAAGAGCAUAAAGGUCACAUGUCUUUAUCGCUUCUUAAAGAGCUUAAAGCUCACUUGUCCCUAUGGCUUGUAAAAGAGCUUGAAGCUCAUUCGUCCUGCUGCUUAUAAAAGAUUAUGAAGCUCACGUGUCCCUGUGGCUCAUAAAAGAGCUCGUCUCUGUAGCUUAUAAAAGGGCUUAAAGCUGAAAGCUCAUGUGUCCUAUUGGCUUAUAAAAGAGUUUAAAGCUCACGUGUCCCUUCUGUUCAUAAAAGAGUUUAGUGCUCAUGUGUCCCUCUUUACUUACAAAAGAGCGCAAUACUCAUGUGUCACUCCUAAGCAAGAGCUUAAUGCUCACAUGUCCCUGGUGCUUAUAAAAGAGCUUAAAGCUCACGUGUCCCGGUUGCUUAUAAAAGUGCUUAACACUCACGUGUCCUUGCUUAAGAAAGAGUUUAAUGCUCAUAACCCAAUGAUUACGAAAUAGCUUGAUGAUCACGUGAGAAAGCGCUUAAUGCUCAAAUGUACGUGUUGCUUAUCUAAAAACUUUCUCGAGGGUCCCUGUUGCAUAUGAAAAGAGCUUAAUGCGUACGUAUCCCUCAGAGCUGAUGCUCACAUGUCCCUCAUGUGUCCCUGUGGCAUAUGAAAGAGCUUACAGCUCACUUGUUCCUAUCAAUUAUAAAAGUGCUUAAAGCUCACUUGUGCCUAUUCCUUAUUAAAGCGCCUAAAGCUUACGUGUUCCCUGUUGCUGAUAAAAGAGUUUCAAGUUUACUUGCCCCCAUCGCUUAUAAAAGAGCUUAAAGCUCACAUAAAAUAGCAUGAAGCUCACUUGUCCUUGUGAAUUAUAAAAGAGUUUAGAGCUCACUUGUCGGUGUCGCUUAUAAAAGAGCUUAAAGCUCACUUGUCCCUCCCACUUAUACAAGAGCGUAAAGCUCACGUGUCGUGGUUGCUUGUAAAAUAGCUUAUAGCUGACUUGUCCCUCUCUCUCGCUCUCUUAUCAAAGAGCUUAAACCUCACGUCUCCCUGUCACUUAUGAAAGAGCAUUCAGCUCACUUGUCUAUGUCAAUUAUAAAGAGCUCAAAGCUCAUGUGUCCAUGUCCCUUAUAAAAGAGCAUGAAGCGCACGUGUCUCUGUGGCCUAUAAAAGAUCUUAAAGCUCACUUCUCCCUGUUGCUUAUCAAAGAUCUUAAAAGUUACUUGUCCCUCCCCAUUUGUAAAUGUCCCUGUCGUUUAUAAAAUUGCAUAUAGCUCAUGUGUCCUUGAUGCUUGUAAAAGAGCUUAAGGCUCACGUGUCUAUAUCGCUUAUAAAAGAGCUUAAAGCUCAUGUGUCUCUAUUGCUUAAGGCUCAUGUGUCCCUAUUGUUUAUAAAAGAGCUUAACGGCCACAUGUAUCUCUUGCUUAUAAAAGAGCUUAAUGCUCAUUCAUCCUAAUGAUUAUGAAGUAGCACAAUGCUUAUGAAAGAAUUUGCUCAAAUGUCCAUGUUGCUUAUGAAAAGCGUCUAAUGCUCAGGUAUCACUCAUAGCUUGAUUCUCACAUGUCCCUACUGCUUAUAAAAGAGCUUAAAGCUCACUUAUCGUGUGGCUUAUGAAAGAGCCUAAAGCUCACUUGCCCUUGUUACUUAUAAAAGAGCAUAAAGCUCACUUGCCCAUGCUGCUUAUUGAAAAACUUGAAGCUCACUUAUCCUCAUCGUUAAUUGAAGAGCUUAAAGGAUAAAGCUCACUUGUCCCUGCUGCAUAUUAAACAACGUAAAGCUCGCGUGUCCCUAUGGCUUAUAGAAAAGCUUGAAGGUUAGUUGUCCCAGUCUCUUAUAGAAGAGUUUAAAGCUCACGCUCCCAGUUGCUUAUAAAAGAGAUUAAAAUAAUCUUAUCCAUGUCCCAAAUAGAACAACUGAAAGGUCACAAAAGAGCGCAAUGCUCAUGUGUCACUCCUAAGCUAGCGCUUAAUGCUCACAUGUCCCUUGUGCUUAUAAAAGAGCUUAAAGCUCAUGUGUCCCGGUUGCUUAUAAAAGUGCUUAACACUCAUGUGUCCUUGCUUAAAAAAGAGUUUGAUGAUCAUGUGUGAUGGCGCUUAAUGCUCAAAUGUCCCUGUUGCUUAUCAAAAAACUCGCUCGAACUCGCACUAUUAAGAAUCAAAUUCUCUCAAUCCAAUUGGAAUAAUAGUCUAAAUAAUGAAUACCAUUAAUGAAUAUAUAUGAUGUCCCUAAUAGUAUUCUUUUAACCGAGAUUCUAUAAAUUUUAGUGCCAUGAGAAAAGCUCGCUGGAACUCCGCACGAUCAUGACUCAUGCACCAUUCGACACGGCUGGGCUGGAAUCAUUUUAAACCAUGCUUCCAGAGAAUGAUCUCCGUUUUCUGCCCAAGGGGAUGAAGAAAUGCGCGUUUGGAUUGCAAUCCACAAAGCUUCCGCGUGUGUUGUAGAUGAUGUAAAUAAGUCAAGUGGGAUUCUGCAAGCCAAGCUCGCUCUAACUCGUAUGAUUAUGACUCAACUCUACUCGAUUUGGUUGGAAUCCUUUACAAUGCCAACACAUAAAAUUUGUGUGAAAUAUAUCUAUAUAUACUUAUAAAUUAAUAAAACUGAGUCAGACUUUUCUGCAUAAUAUGUCAACCUUUAGCUGAUUUUCCAGCUGCAAAGUGAUGAAAAUUUUGGUAGCCUGACUUUUUUCCCCAAUGUAAAUCUGAUGCCUAUCAUCUUUUACAUAAUAAUGCUUAAUGUAUUCCAAUUUCAAUGUGAAGUCCAUUUGUCUUUAACCAAGCUUAAGCGCCAUUUUUAUGUUUAGAUGCAUCUGUUUGUACUAUAAAUAUCAAUUUUCACUAGUGCUUCUAUAGAGGAUGAAUCAUCUAAUAACAUAAGUGUCUUUGGUCUAACAAUUUUUAACGACAUAUAUUCAAAAGUUUCGUUUGGCAAUUUAAUUGUUGGAAGUAAGUAGUUUGUUCUCAUCUUUUUCUUCUUUUAUUCAUGUUUUUAAAAUCUUGUCGUACCAGAUUGAUUUAGAGGCUUGUUGAAAGAAGAAGAAGAAGAAGAAGAAGAAGGUUACAAAGAAGGCGGUACAACUUUGCAAUGAAAUUCAGGGAAAAAGCUAAAGUGAUAGCAGGGAAGGCAUUCAAGAGGUUUGAUAUGGAGUUGAGUGUCAUUUUGUAACUGCUUCUGCGCAUAAAGAUGUGCAAAAGAUAUUCCUGUAUUUCUUGAUUGUAUUGGUUUGAAAAUUCAGGCCACCCAAAAUCAUGGAUCAAUAACAUAAUUGCAUUGAAAUAGUGUUGAACCUUUAAUUAGGUAAUGACAAGGAAUGUUGAUGAAAUUCAUCCAUUGCUCUGUUGAACUGCAAGUAUAGGUGUCUUGAGAUUGAUUUGAUGGCUUCUAUAAGAGAAAGUUGUUUAAUUUAAUGUGCGAUUUGGGUAAAGUGUCAUUGACAUAAUAGUAGUUAAGUUGAUAAUUGAUUCUAGUAGAUUUUUGUGUUUGAACAUGGGAUCAACAAUAUGGGGAGAAUUAUAAAGUAUCUGUAUCUCGAAAGGUACAACAGCUCAUGUUAUCUUAAGACGUUUGAAAUGAUGCUGCUAAUAGUGAGUAUGAAUGUAUCAUAGAAUUAAAUAGUUAAGGCAACAUGAACAUGUAUAGAUCAUACCUCAUUUAAGUUAAACUUGUCAAGAAAAGGAUGCCUACUACAUAAAAAAUUUAUUUCCUCUACAAGGAAAGGAUUGUUUGCUGCUGCCCUCGCCGAGACAAUAAAAGGAGACAAGGAGGAGCUGAUGCAGUUCGGGCCGAGGAGACAAAAACUCGGAAAAUCUCAGGAUAAGGAGGUCAGAGCCGAAGUCAGGGUAAAUUGAUCAAGGUAUCGAGGCUCAAGCUGAGAAGCAGCCGAGGCAUCAGGUCGAAGAAGCGAUCGAGUCAAGGGCUGAGGCGAGUCGAGGAAAUCGAAGUUGAGCUAAGGCUCGACGAGUUUUGGUCCGUUGAUGGUGAAGGGUGUCGACGCGGCGACAUUGAGUUGUGUCGUAGGCUGGAGUGGUGAAGGAGAUCACGGCGUGACUAUGGCAGUUGUAGUCGUAGGAAAUCGAAGGAAUGAAGAAGAUUUAGAGAGAAUGUGGCCGAAGGCGGCGAUGGCACUGGGAAUCGAAGGAUGCGGCGGUGGCCUUUGGGGUAGUGUUUAUAUAUAUAUAUAGAGGUGCACUAAAAUAAAAACCAAGAUUAGCCUAUAAAAUAAGAGCCAAUGUAGGCCAUUGGAUUAUCUUAAUUGGACGGUCAGGUCUUGAUUUAAUUUUCUCUAGCUAAUUAACGUCAAUUUAGGUAAUAGGGUAGAUAUGUAAUUACAUAAUUCUAAUAACCACCUCACCCUUAUUAUAAGGGAUUACAUUUAAACCAAGAUUUAACAUUCCCUAAUAUAAAAUCUGUGUAACUAAUACAUGUUCCAGAAGGAGAAAAAUAAGAAAACCCUGCCAACAGAUUCAAGAACACGCCCAGAAAUUCAUGGAGGACACUAAUACGCAAUUUCACUAUUCACAAUUUAUAGAUAUAAUUCAUAUAUUUUUUUCACUAUGUUGACAUAGUUCAUGGGUUAUGUGGUAUUGUUCACUCAACAAAUAUACUACGACUAANCAUGUCCCUACUGCUUAUGAAAGAGCUUAAAGCUCACUUAUCGUGUGGCUUAUGAAAGAGCCUAAAGCUCACUUGCCCUUGUUACUUAUAAAAGAGCAUAAAGCUCACUUGCCCAUGCUGCUUAUUGAAAAACUUAAAGCUCACUUGUCCCUGUCAUUUGUAAUAGAACUUGAAGCUCACUUAUCCUCAUUGUUAAUUGAAGAGCUUAAAGCAGAAAGCUCACUUGUCCCUGCUGCAUAUUAAACAGCAUAAAGCUCGCGUGUCCCUGUGGCUUAUAGAAAAGCUUGAAGGUUAGUUGUCCCAGUCUCUUAUAGAAGAGUUUAAAGCUCACGCUCCCUGUUGCUUAUAAAAGAGAUUAAAAUAAUCUUGUCCAUGUCCCUAAUAGAACAACUUAAAGCUCACAUAAAAGAGCAUGUAGCUCACGUGUCCAUAUGGAUAUAAAAUAGCAUAAAGCUGAACGUUUCCUUCCCAUUUAUGAAAAAGCUUAGAGGUCACUUGUCCCUCUCGCUUAUAAAAGGGCUUAAAGCUCACGUGUCCCUGUUGUUUAAUAAAGAGCUUAAAGCUGACUUUUCUCUGCCACUCGUACAAGACCAUAAAGCUUACUUGCUCGUGCCGCUUAUAAAAGAGCGUAAAGCUCACUUGUCGCUGUGAUUUAUGAAAGAGUUUUAACGCUCACUUGUUCCCAUCAUUAAUUAAUGAGCUUGAAGCAUAACGUUCACGUGUCCCUGCCUGCUUUUUAAAGAGCAUAAAGCCCACUUGUCCUUAUGGAUUAUGGAAAGCUUAAAGGUUGCUUGUCCCUGUCUCCUAUAGAAGAGUUUAAAGCUCAUGUGUCCAUGUUGCUUAUAAAAGAGAUUAAAAUAAACUUG